rnacentral:misc_RNA from 1 species
AACGACAACCGCACCAAAGCCAAGCAGUUCAGAAAGAAUACAAGGGCCAAAGACAUCAGCAGGGCAUUUCCAUAAGAGGCGGCCACCACUUUUUCCCGUUGACCUGCUCAGCGCUCUUACUAUCCCGAUUGCUCAUGGCUCUGGAGACGAAAAAAAUCAAACGCACGAAGCACACACGAACAACUGUAAGGCCACGGCACAAGAUUGUUUCUUUACCACCGAAACACAGGCACAGCGAGAGACACGCGAUUGCAUGCCUGUUACCCGCGUGACUUGGCUUGAUGGUGUCUUACAAACCUGAGCGUUUUGCUACCGUACGGGAUCCUUGCCGGAUCACUCGCGCAUAGGGUCGCGUCACAGGCUCGUGCCACAACCUCCUCCUCUUGCACUGGCUAUGUGCGCGCGCGGAUUGCCGCGUCUAGAACGCCUGAAAGCUGAAAAAGGAGUUGAAAAGAAGGAACGCGGCGCAGGCAUGAACUCAAUCACGAAUAGGGUGAUAGCAUAUCGCCUUCCACAAGAUGGGGCGGGGGAGGAGGCCUACGGCCUGUGCCUUCGAAAAGAAGGGAACACGCUGCGCGUGAUGUUGUUGCAGAAGGAGGACAACUACGAGCGACCACUGAGGUCAGUGUUGCGCAAGCUAUCCGACGAGGAUGCCGUCGUGAGCGAGCUCGAGAACCGCUUUAAGUCACUGCAGUCGAGUCUGAUAGAGGAGAAUGAUGCGGCGAGGCAGAAGAAGUGCCGCUUGCAAAAGAGAAUGCUACAGUGGGCUAUUCGCCGAUUGGAGGGGGUCGAGGAGAAAGAGUGGGCACUGCUGUCGCAGCAACGCUGCCCUUCUGCCAUGGUUAGCUGUAUUGGAUGCACCGUGGCUUCCAUCGCUGUAGGGAAGAGUCUUGUGUCAUCUACGUGGACUGAUGCGCAAAGGUUGUUCCGCAGUGGCAAGGAAAUGGUGCUGCAGCUGCGUCAGGUUGGCGAGCAGCGGAUGGACAGGUCUCUGUAUGACUCCAUCGAAGAGACGUAUUUGUCCGACUCGACCUUGUCUUACUCAUCCGUGUCGCAGGAGUCGCUGUCGCUUGGCGUCCUGCACAAGUGGAUCACGGCUUUCAUGGAUUACCAACGUGCCUGCUACAUGGAGGGCGGGGACGCGGAGCUGCAGCAACAGAUGACCGACUGUCAGAGCAGCCUGGAAUCGGCGCGCGAGCGGCGCAGCUCGCUGGCGAAGCAGGUAGAUCUCAUCAAAAAAGGAAAUUGCUACAGUCGCACCCAGACGGUACGCAGUGUCCCCAUAGAGCACGUCCUCUACCUCAUGACAUCGGAGAAGGUUACGACCCGGCAGUACCUUCUCAAGGAGCGCGUCCCUCUCGAAUCGCUGGAGGAGGCGCUGACGAACUCGCUUGCUGGUCCGCAAAGUGCCCGCGGCUGUCGCGACGAGAAAACUAGAAUGACGGCGCUUUCUUUCCCUCGGGUGGAACACCCUGUCGCAGAAGCCAGACACACGGAUCGCACCCCCACCGGUGCCUCGAAGCACCCUUCGCCGAAGGCUGAGUCGGCGCGGGCAGGAUCGCGGGUGAGCGGGCGUCACGUUCGACGGCCGCGUGCCUCCACAGACGACGGUGGAAAUAUGGACGGUGCCGAGAGUCGCUGUGCCGCUGUGCCGUCCUCGACCGAUUCAUUGAGGGAACAGAGGGAUAAAAUCCACGCUGCGAGGGAGGUAAAACGUGCAUCUCGCAGGAGCAGUGGCUCGUUGUUGUCGAGUGGCAAGGCUGCAGUGGCACGCGCCAUGGAGACCACCACUACAACAACAGGUGCCGUCGCUGCUUCUUUUUCUUCGACCACCCAUGCUGACAGGGAAACCGGCGCGUCUUUUCCGUCAUGUGAGCCCAGCACUCCUUCAGCGUCUGCUGAUGCCCAGCACGUACUGGCAGAUGUCAAAAACCACUUUAAAAACGUGCAGGAGACCCUGCUGGCAUGCUUGGAGGAGUACGAGCAGCUGGAGGAGAAGUACUCGAACACCGUAGAGCAGAGUAAGCAGCUUCUGCAUACUUUAGAGGAGCGUGACGACGAGAUUGCGCGGCUGCGCGAGGACUUGUCACGGGCGACAAAGAAGCAGCUCUUGGCAAGCCGUCUAAUUUCGCUACUGCAGCGGAAUCAGCGUGGGGCUUCAAGCGGUGGCCGGUGCAACGAAGACCAGAACUGUAGUGAUGAGGCUCGGCUUCAACCAAAGACUUCCAGCGCAUGCGAUGCGGGGACUUUUGCGAGGCACGUGGAGUACUUGCUGGAUGAUACGCUGGAUUUUGUUCGAGGGGCUGCUGCGGCUCCAGUCAUGUGAGCAGGCGCACUGAUGAGUGUCUAAAAAACAGCCUUUACGUGGCGCGCUGGAGCGCCUCAAAAGUCGCGCGCGGCGUUUGCUCCCCAUCUCGCCCUGCCGUGAAUGUGCUGUGUGUGUGUGUGCUCCGACGUGUGCAGGAGUAGAUCUGUGGAUAAAAGAAGAAGUGUGAGGGAGGCGAUGGAAACUAAGGAUGGACGGCACGCGCGGUUGUGCGUGUGUGCGCUGCUCUUUUUCCGCUCUUUCCCACCCCGCUCGGCGCACGUGCAUGUACGAUGGAGGGGCUGGGUAGGGAAAAGCACAUGAAAACAGGACGGAAAGAGAAAAAGUAGCGAAGGGUAUUUACGCAACUCAAGGGGCCAGUGGUUUUCAACGAUUUUUUUUUUCGCGUGACAUUUCUGCAUCAGUUGUCACUAUGUAAACGCACUCUAGGGACGUCCCGGAAGGGAAUGAUUUACAGGGGCGGGAGAGGGUUUGGUGAGGUAGCAUAGCUGGGGCCGCACAACCAUCGCGCCACCAUUCACAUGACUGCUCCCUCGAACCUUCCCCCCCUAAUCACACAGAGAAAGGCUCCUGCCAAAGACCCUUUCAUCGCUUGAUGCAUUUUUCUCGGUUCGACCCAAAUGCUCUUUAUUUCGCGUUUACUUAGCUUCUCCACUCUUGUAGUUCCUGCUGUUUGCUCUUUUUCGUGUUGUUUCUCUACUCCAGCUUUCAGUAGGGCCUAGAACGCUCUCGGUGCCAGCGUCUCUCUGUUUGGGUGCGCGGAAAGAAAACGAGACUUCUUAAAGAGAGGGUGGAGGUGGCCAACGAUACACGCGUACGCUCACACACACACACACACACACACACGUCCAUACACCCACAGGCCGAGAACACGAAGAAAAAAAAGGGUGGUGAAAUGCGCUUUUUUUAUUUUUGGCGUAUCGCUGCGUGAUUCAUUUUCUUUUCCUUUUAUUGUGCAUUCACUUAUCUCUGUUUCUCCUCUUCUCCGUGCACUUGUUUUGCUUGCUUUCUUUUUUUUUUCCAGCACCCUCUCUUUUUCGCUUAUAUCACGUAUCUUUUUUUUCCUUUGAUGCUCGCGUGCUUACAUCUUCUUACCGUUGCGUUUGGCCACCCACCCACCCACUACCACCGCCGCCUUCCUCCUGCUGCUGCUUUUCUUGCCUGAGUCAUACUGUGUGCUUCUGCUUCUACGUUUUUUUUUUCAGUUUGCCUCCUCAUACAGCUAGAUUUCUCCACUUGAUGCUCUUGCUCUUUAACGUGCGCUCUCGUGUGCGUCUUCCUCUGGAAAGUAAUUGCCCACUGUGUACGCUUUUCAUUGUCGUCAUCUCUCACUGUGGCACCUUUUUUUUUUCGCUCUUCUCUUUCUCACAAUUGCAAGCCUGAUCUCCCAGUAGUGCAAACCAUGCGACUGAUACGCGAAAGGGGGAAGGAAUAGAGAGAGGGAUUCGUGGAGGGCCAUUUCAUCGCACGCUGUGUUUGUCGGUGCUAUUGGUGGCCCUUUCACUUCUGAAGUCUUGUUUUCUAGCUUGUCUUCCCACUCGUUGUGGCAGUGCAAGACUCACAGGAAAGCGGACAGGCUCAGCUGAAAGAAGAUUUGGAAGACAAACAACCAGGCAGCGUAAGUCUUUUUUUCACACGUCAUCCCGAUGCGAUUGCUACGCAUCGGUGCCUCUUGUGUGCACUGCGUGGUAAUGUGAAACGACGGUCUUUGCGUUGUAGAGGAUGAGUUACGACUGCUGAAUGGCGUGGCGGUCGUUGCCCAAAUCCACAUGCAAAACGCACACCCAAACGUCAGCAGAAUCUCCCCAAUCUUCCAUACAGGCGCAAGAUUAGGUAGCGCAGCAUCGGCGGCAGGAAGGAUGGGGGAUGCACAGGUUCCGGGCGUCUUGCUUUCCAGUACGAAAAAAUGGAACGCAAGGCGUUUGCCUUCCCCCGCGAAAGCUCUUAGAAAUGAUACAGCGCGGCAUACCUGUGUUUUUGCGUGUGGGGGUGCGCACUACUCCCUCCCCCCACCCCACUCCAGCCCGCCCGCACGACAAUAGCGACGUAACGAAUAACCAGUGAAAAAACG